AGAGUUUGAUCCUGGCUCAGAUUGAACGCUGGCGGCAGGCCUAACACAUGCAAGUCGAACGGUAGCACAGAGGAGCUUGCUCCUUGGGUGACGAGUGGCGGACGGGUGAGUAAUGUCUGGGAAACUGCCCGAUGGAGGGGGAUAACUACUGGAAACGGUAGCUAAUACCGCAUAACGUCGCAAGACCAAAGAGGGGGACCUUCGGGCCUCUUGCCAUCGGAUGUGCCCAGAUGGGAUUAGCUAGUAGGUGGGGUAAUGGCUCACCAAGGCGACGAUCCCUAGCUGGUCUGAGAGGAUGAUCAGCCACACUGGAACUGAGACACGGUCCAGACUCCUACGGGAGGCAGCAGUGGGGAAUAUUGCACAAUGGGGGAAACCCUGAUGCAGCCAUGCCGCGUGUAUGAAGAAGGCCUUCGGGUUGUAAAGUACUUUCAGCGAGGAGGAAGGCGUUGUGGUUAAUACGUAUCAACUGUGACGUUACUCGCAGAAGAAGCACCGGCUAACUCCGUGCCAGCCGCCGCGGUAAUAC
rnacentral:rRNA from 1 species